rnacentral:misc_RNA from 1 species
GAUGAAGAACGUAGUGAAAUGCGAUAAGUAAUGUGAAUUGCAGAAUCUCGUGAAUCAUCGAAUCUUUGAACGCACAUUGCGCCCUAUGGUAUUCCGUAGGGCAUGCCUGUCUGAGCGUCAGCUCCCCCUCACUCAAGCUUUCUUUUUUGUGAAGCUUGGAUCACUUUGGAGAAGUAGCUCUCUCAAAAGGGCCACUCUUCAGAAAAUUAUAGGCAGUAUGGUUAGACCUGAACCAGACGUAAUAAGGAUAUAAAAUCGUCUUUUUGGGAAUAUCUGUACUAGUCUUAAGCCACCCAUUCUUUUUUUGUAUUUGGGUGACCUCAGAUCAGGUAGGGAUACCCGCUGAACUUAAGCAUAUCAAUAAGCGGAGGA